ACUGCCAGAAAGAGGGGGAGAAGGAGAAACAACCCAGGGAACUGAGAAGAAAAUUCUUCACUAGGCAUUUCAUGAAUAGCUUCCUCCUUAGGUCACAAUGAUGGAAACUUUCCUGGUUUCCCAGUUGCUGAGGGAGAUGUCAGUAAGCAAGGAGCGACUGGAGCCCUGAGCUGCUUGUGUCUUUCUCGGAAGCUGGGUGGGCAGCUCAGGUGGGAGAUCAAGCCAUCAGCCAUUCUGACCUCCCCCAGAUAACUAUGGGGCUACCUCUGGCUCCCCACUCCCCACACCUGGGAGACUCAGCCACAGGGACCCCUCUGUAACCUGAGUCCCAGAAGGAGGUGUGGAAUUCCAACCAUACCAUGGUGUGCUUAAAUAAGGAGAGGGAAGUCAUUUAAUCCAGAUCUUUCCCUUUCAGCCAAUGAUCAAAAGUAGCUUUUGUGUGAAGCUUCAAAAAUCGUAGAUAGUAAAGAAUCAUCACUCUGUCCGCAUCCUGCUCUGCACCGUGGCCCUCCCCCCGCCCUGCCCCGCCCCGCCCCUUGCAAGCUUCUGGUUUAUUCCUGUUGUCAGGACAAGCUGUCUCUCUGGAAUUUCUAGGACAUUCCCCAUUCCCAGUCUUCUGGCAAGUGACCCACCAGAAGAAAAUUGGCUCUGAAGUUUAUUUUGUGAGUUCAAGACACAUCAAGGAACUCCAGGAGUAUUUGGUAUUGCUCCUGAAAAAAGACUACGUUCUUUGUAACCAUGCAGAUGGGCACUACUCACCCCGGAGGGUGCAAAGCAAUCCAUGGAUGGACUGUGUGCCGCCCAAGCAGGGGAGCACUAUUCCCAGAGGACCUGGGGCAAGAGCAAGGGUGUAGAGCAUGAGAAGAGGAAACAGAGUGCGAAGCACGACUGGCUAGGAGGUCCGCCACUUCCUCAUACGGCCGGCAGGUCCUCGUUUCCAGGCGGAGGGGAGCUAGCGGCUGCUGGAGCACCGGUGUGUGUUAGGGUCCUUGGCAGGUGCCUCCGUGAGUGCCGGCUGACUCAGAAAUCCUGACGGACGAUUAAGACAGCAAUGGGUCGGUGAACCACAUGGGAAUCCUGGGACUGUGGUGAUGGAAGCUCUGAGCCCCCCCCCCCCCCCCCCCCCGACCUUGCCCCGUGCAUCUCGUCCACCUGGCUGUUCCUGAGUUCUAUCCUUUUACAACAAUUCGGUGAUCUAGUUUAAGGUGGUGUGAGGAGGAAGAAUGAAAUCUGAACUAAAAUAAGGCACAAUGAGAGGCCAUGGAACUGUUCCAGGGAUCUUAAUUAAAAACAGGAAGCAUUUUCAAGGAUUUUUCAAGAAGCCUGCUCCAAAUAAAAGCCUGGUUUUUAAAAAUACCACCUUUGUUGGAAGAGCUUCCAUUGGGGACUAGCGGGCCUGUGCUUGGAAAUGACACCCCUGCUUUUGGCUCCUCCCCAGCAGGCACCCCAGCCCUGCUGACUCACUGAGGCCCCCUGCCCCUGCUGUUCGGGGCGCAGCCCCAUUAUCCCGGGUUUAGGCAAUAGUAGGGGGGACUAGUCCUCCUGGUUUGUCCCGGACUGAAGGGUCUCCCAGGGUCUAAAACUGGGAAGCUCCCAGACAACUGGGACAAAUUGGUCCCCCUCAUUUGAAACUGAGACAGAAUGCCUCUCCUCCAUUUGGGCUUGUCCAUCCCAACCUCUGGAUCCGCCCCACGACUUCCUCUAGAACACGGACGCCUCUUUGGACAGAAUGCUCUCUCCUUGGCCGUCUCCGCUCUAACCAACUUCGGGUGAACUUCCUCGGCUGUGUUACGCCCUGCUGCUCGGGAGGACCCCUGGCCAAACAAGAACAUAAAGUUCAAAUUCUAAUUUUACCUUCUUUACAAUAAUUUUUUUAAAUUACAACUCAAGUGGAGGGAUGGGAUAUUCAAGCAUUAAAUGUUUUAAUUUAUUAGGCACUGUGCCUUUAUCAUCGGGCAUUUAACUGCAAUUUGAUCACUAAGUCAACAGAGAAGGUAUACAGAAAGAGAGGGGCUGGGACGGCCUUCGCUGCGUCUCGGAAGGUGAAUGCACCUUGUUUAUUGCUCCCAAGGCCCUGCUGUCUUGUGUAUUCUGGAACGUGUCUCUUGAGAGUCUUGUCCCUGACCGGAGGCCUCGAUUUCCUUCCAAGCUCUUGCUGUAAUUUAUGGAUUAAAAGUUUUUCCUCUUGCAGGACAUUGUUUGGUGUGCUGUGUGCAAGUGCUCAGCUUGGUUUAUCGUGCAAAGACUAACAAAGCCUGGCAUGUUUACCUCCCUUGAAGAAACGUGGCUGCCUCCACAAACUCAGACUUUGCUCUCUUCCUGAGUCCGGCUUCAGAAAGCCCCAGCUAUUUAUCUCAGGGUAAACGUAUGCCAGG